UUGACCUCGGAUUAGGUAGGAAUACCCGCUGAACUUAAGCAUAUCAAUAAGGCGGAGGAAA
rnacentral:rRNA from 1 species